rnacentral:misc_RNA from 1 species
AAGUGGGAACAAGGUUUCCGUAGGUAAACCUGCGGAAGGAUCAUUGCAAAUCAAAGAUUGGAAAUGAUAUGGUUGGAUUUGGGAAGCGAGAGAUUUUGAGAUUCUAGAUAUCGAAAGAUUGAAGGAUGAUUUUGAAACACCUUGUUUACUAUUUGCUUCCAUUCCAUUUCCACAUACGCACAACAUUUGGUUGACUGGUCCUCCUUUCUUUUGUCUCUGCCGCUGAUGUUUACGCUUGUUUGUUUGACAAAUCUAUUACUUAAAGUCUACACAACUUUGAGCUCUUGGCUCUU